ACGCUAGCUACAGGCUUAACACAUGCAAGUCGAGGGGAAACGGCAUUGAGUGCUUGCACUCUUUGGACGUCGACCGGCGCACGGGUGAGUAACGCGUAUCCAACCUUCCCAUUACUGUGGGAUAACCUGCCGAAAGGCAGACUAAUACCGCAUAGUCUUCGAUGACGGCAUCAGAUUUGAAGUAAAGAUUUAUCGGUAAUGGAUGGGGAUGUGUCUGAUUAGCUUGUUGGCGGGGUAACGGCCCACCAAGGCAACGAUCAGUAGGGGUUCUGAGAGGAAGGUCCCCCACAUUGGAACUGAGACACGGUCCAAACUCCUACGGGAGGCAGCAGUGAGGAAUAUUGGUCAAUGGACGGAAGUCUGAACCAGCCAAGUAGCGUGCAGGAUGACGGCCCUAUGGGUUGUAAACUGCUUUUGUAUGGGGAUAAAGUUAGGGACGUGUCCCUAUUUGCAGGUACCAUACGAAUAAGGACCGGCUAAUUCCGUGCCAGCAGCCGCGGUAAUACGGAAGGUCCAGGCGUUAUCCGGAUUUAUUGGGUUUAAAGGGAGCGUAGGCCGGAGAUUAAGUGUGUUGUGAAAUGUAGACGCUCAACGUCUGACUUGCAGCGCAUACUGGUUUCCUUGAGUACGCACAACGUUGGCGGAAUUCGUCGUGUAGCGGUGAAAUGCUUAGAUAUGACGAAGAACUCCGAUUGCGAAGGCAGCUGACGGGAGCGCAACUGACGCUUAAGCUCGAAGGUGCGGGUAUCAAACAGGAUUAGAUACCCUGGUAGUCCGCACAGUAAACGAUGGAUGCCCGCUGUUGGUACCUGGUAUCAGCGGCUAAGCGAAAGCAUUAAGCAUCCCACCUGGGGAGUACGCCGGCAACGGUGAAACUCAAAGGAAUUGACGGGGGCCCGCACAAGCGGAG
rnacentral:rRNA from 1 species